GGGUGCGUAGCUCAGUUGGUUAGAGCGCAGCCCUGAUAAGGCUGAGGUCCCAAGUUCGAGUCUUGGCGCACCCAC
rnacentral:tRNA from 1 species